AGCGUACUUCACAUCUAUUGGACAGUAAAUACUAAACAAAGACACAAUUGGUCCAAAUUAAUUUUAUUGUUCACCGAAACUAGCCAAUCAAUACUUUGCAUUGACAAAACCAACCAAUCCUGUAACUUACCUGCAACUGCCGAGAGCCAAUCACAGACUGUCAGAUCCACCAGACCCAACAGUGUAUACUUGCAAGACGGACGAUACACGCCUCACAUCCCAAGCCUGACACCCUUAUAAGCACAGGAGAGAAGUUUGCCCCUAACUUCGACUGGCAGGCAGGUCUGCCUAUUAGGCAGAUAAUAAAACACCUCUCUGCGAAAACCCGCCUCCUCAGUUACAUCACCAAGGAGACACGCCUUCUAAGGGCAAAAGCUGCCUUCCACGCCCUCACAUUCAAACUGAAAACUGCGCGCCAAGGUUUUGCAGCAGAACAGAUUUGGAAUGAAAAAGAGCAAUGCCUCCCAGAAAGCGUAGGAAGUGUACUUCGGUCACUGUGAAAAAUCAUGCAGAAAAAGCUCAUGCUACAUCAGCAACCCCUGCUGCUUGUUCAGAAAGCGACACUGCUUCCCCACUGCCACAGGCAUGCCCUCCUUCCUCCAGCACAGUCGCUGUGUCACUUCAGCAUCCACCUGUAUCACUGGCUGUGCCUCGCCCAGCUGUAAUACCCGACAGCAUGGCUAUACCACAAGUAUUUGCUGAAGUCGAGAGCCUUCUCCCUCUUUCUUUCAACAAGAGAAAGAAAAGGAGAAGCCUGCGAUUUAGGUGUGGGCAUCGGCAAGUUGGCAGUAAGGAUGAUUCCUUUUGACAGGAUCGCAGUUUUGGAGGGCUCGAUCACAACCAAAGAUGUUGCCAUUGGAAAGCUUCAUGAAUUUAACAAUUCAACUUGGCUGACCGCAACACCUCCCCGCCUCCUCAGGAGGGAUGAGACAAAACAUGCGCCCUCCGAUACGAGCACUGUCAAAGCCAUAUGUUAUUUUUCGCACUACAAGCCCAGAGCUCCCACCCCCUAGCGAACACAUCGUUUGGAGGAGUCGAUGCAGCUAGAAAUGCCAACGCCCUGAACCUGCAGGCGCCAGGUCAAUUGUGUGCCACCCUCUCAGAACUUCUGGCCAAAGCUGGCAAUGGCAUAGGCAGGAUUCGAGACAAGUCUGACUCUUGCCUAUAGUGCUGCAACUUAUGUUUUUGUUUUAAUCACUAUUUUUACAUAAAGCAUACCUCUCAACAAGGUUGUUUGUUUCACUGUCUUGGUGGUAAACUCUCCGU